GACGAACGCUGGCGGCGUGCUUAACACAUGCAAGUCGAACGGAAAGGCCUGCUUUCCCUUGUGGAUUGCGGGUACUCGAGUGGCGAACGGGUGAGUAACACGUGAGUGAUCUGCCCCCAACUUGGGUAUAAGCCUGGGAAACUGGGUCUAAUUCCCGAUAGGACUGCAGGGUGGUGCCUGUGGUGGAAAACGAUUUUCUAGUGGUUGGGGAUGAGCUCGCGGCCUAUCAGCUUGUUGGUGGGGUAAUGGCCUACCAAGGCGGCGACGGGUAGCCGGCCUGAGAGGGUGGACGGCCACAUUGGGACUGAGAUACGGCCCAGACUCCUACGGGAGGCAGCAGUGGGGAAUAGUGCACAAUGGGCGGAAGCCUGAUGCAGCGACGCCGCGUGGGGGAUGACGGCCUUCGGGUUGUAAACUCCUUUCGACCGCGAGGAAGCCACCUGGUUGGAAGGGUGGUGACGGUAGUGGUAGAAGAAGCACCGGCUAACUACGUG
rnacentral:rRNA from 1 species